rnacentral:rRNA from 1 species
CCUACGGGGGGCAGCAGUGAGGAAUAUUGGUCAAUGGCCGAGAGGCUGAACCAGCCAAGUCGCGUGAGGGAGGACGGCCCUACGGGUUGUAAACCUCUUUUGUCGGGGAGCAAAGCGAACCACGUGUGGUUCAUUGAGAGUACCCGAAGAAAAAGCAUCAGCUAACUCCGUGCCAGCAGCCGCGGUAAUACGGAGGAUGCGAGCGUUAUCCGGAUUUAUUGGGUUUAACGGGUGCGCAGGCGGAGGUGCAAGUCAGCGGUCAAAUUGCGGGGCUCAACCCCGUACUGCCGUUGAAACUGCAUCCCUUGAGUGCGCGAGAAGUAUGCGGAAUGCGUGGUGUAGCGGUGAAAUGCAUAGAUAUCACGCAGAACUCCGAUUGCGAAGGCAGCAUACCGGCGCCCAACUGACGCUGAAGCACGAAAGCGUGGGUAUCGAACAGGAUUAGAUACCCUUGUAGUC